UUCCGGGGCUCGUUAACAAGUUGUUGCCCAACUCCGUCAGGUCCGGAAGGAAGCAGCGGUUAGCAUUCAAUUUGUGUAGCGGGUUACCCGGAUUUU
rnacentral:SRP_RNA from 2 species